GGCGGCCCGCCGGUUGCCUGGUUACGGAUGAUCGCAGCUCUGUAUCCCGGAUGUGCCGCGGAAGUUCGUUCCAGUCCCCGCCGAUUCUCGGGGGUGUAGUACCUGGGAGAGUCUGACAGUACCGAAAUCGAGUUCCCAGCCUGUUUCAACACAGAACACGUGGUAGAAUUCAACCCUGGCCCCACCACCCUUGAUCCAUUUGUACCGGGUGGUCACCGUGCUCUGCAGCCACUUUGUCCCAGCAAACUACUCACGGAGAGCAAUGGCAUCGUCAGCUCCCCAGAAUGAAGGGAGCGCAGAGGCAAAAGCACCAACUCUCCCAGGCUCAGGGCUUUCGCCUCUUCCCUCUCAUGUUAAGUUCCGAGGGCCUAAGGGCUAGCCCAGACCUGCCUCCCUGGUGUUCUGAGGAGCCUGUGGUCAGCCUUAGCGGGCUCUAUCCUGAAGAUACCACAAGCUGCAGAAGCCAACACAGCCUGGGCAAAUGCAAGAACUCCAGACCCCGGGCUGGAAUGUUAAAGAGGCAGCAUUGUAUUUGACUUCUACAGGGUGACAAAAAAGCUGUGAUCAGCACGGUGAACCUGAAAGGACCUUGGGACUUUCUUUUUCCCUCCUCGCUCCUGCUAAGCCUUCAAGCACAGACCGUCUCUGGCUCCCAGCUAUAAGUAGCCUGGUGUGGAGGAGAGGAUUCCUGGCCCACAGCCGAGCCAUCAAGCCUCAGGCCCUGGAGGCCAGGGCUCUGAGUCACAGACCCUCCUCUUUAAGGCCCAGCCUGUUACCUAGGUGUUAUAUGCCCUUUGUCAGCUUCCUUAACCUCCCUGAGCAGCAGGCCUAACCUGGGGUUCUAGCAGGGUGAGCACCUGGACAGUUUGGGGACUGAAAGAGAGUGCUGUUGAUACAUGUGCUUGGACAACAGCCAUGAACAGGGACUAUGGCUGGGAUGUAGGGUGACUCUGGCUGCAGAACAUGCAGGGGCCUGUGCCCAGGAAGGGUGCUGCUGGGGCACCAUAGUUAUUCUUGAGGAAGCUUCCUUCCCUUUGCAAUGUCUACUCCUUUCUCCCUUCUCCUGAUCCCUCCCCUGGCUCAUACUUGGAGGCUGGAUACAUGUCACCACCUCCCUGAAGUCCCCCUGGGUGGACUAGAAUCAGCCACUCUUUCCUGGGGGCAAAGUUGUUAGUUUCUCAUGUAAAGCUCCACGACCAGAGCUGUAGUCACAUUACCCAGAAUACUUAGGACACAGGGCUGUGCCCUUGCCAGGACAAUGGGCAGAGGCUAUGCCAGAGAACUCGGCUGUCCUUGUCAUCAUUACAACACUUUGUUACAUAUUGUCAUAGUGUGUUUUCGAUAUCGCCAAAGUCGACCUCACCAUUAGCCUGCGUCAUGCAAGGAGGCUGCCGCUGAGCACCUUACAGGGGACUCUGCAAACCCAGGUGGACGCAAAGUCUCGAGUACAUGCCAGAGUGCCAAGAAUGUAAACUAUUUCAUUAAUAACUUUAUUAUGUGUUGAAAGGGUAAUAUUUUGGAUAUAUUAUUUGAAUAAAAUACAUUAUUAAAAUCUA